rnacentral:lncRNA from 1 species
CCAUUUGAUUAUCUUAUCAUAAAAAGCCGCAGAGCGGCAGGGAUUCAAAGCCACACACGGCCAGUCCUGAAAUACAAAACAAGGCCAUUCAAGGUUGAAACAUAAAAACAUAAAAAAAUCUCUCGCAAGAGAUCUAACCCAAAUCAUCCUCAGAACUCACGCCCCCUCUUCACUCAACGCCUCGUCCGAGCUUGGAGCCGCAUCACCUCCGUAUUCUCCAACCAUC